GACGAACGCUGGCGGCGUGCUUAACACAUGCAAGUCGAACGGAAAGGCCCUGCUUUUGUGGGGUGCUCGAGUGGCGAACGGGUAAGUAACACGUGAGUAACCUGCCCUUGACUUUGGGAUAACUUCAGGAAACUGGGGCUAAUACCGGAUAGGAGCUCCUGCUGCAUGGUGGGGGUUGGAAAGUUUCGGCGGUUGGGGAUGGACUCGCGGCUUAUCAGCUUGUUGGUGGGGUAGUGGCUUACCAAGGCUUUGACGGGUAGCCGGCCUGAGAGGGCGACCGGCCACAUUGGGACUGAGAUACGGCCCAGACUCCUACGGGAGGCAGCAGUGGAGAAUAUUGCACAAUGGGCGGAAGCCUGAUGCAGCAACGCCGCGUGCGGGAUGACGGCCUUCGGGUUGUAAACCGCUUUCGCCUGUGACGAAGCGUGAGUGACGGUAAUGGGUAAAGAAGCACCGGCUAACUACGUG
rnacentral:rRNA from 1 species